rnacentral:rRNA from 1 species
CCUACGGGUGGCAGCAGUGGGGAAUAUUGCACAAUGGGGGAAACCCUGAUGCAGCGACGCCGCGUGAGUGAAGAAGUAUCUCGGUACGUAAAGCUCUAUCAGCAGGGAAGAAAAUGACGGUACCUGACUAAGAAGCCCCGGCUAACUACGUGCCAGCAGCCGCGGUAAUACGUAGGGGGCAAGCGUUAUCCGGAUUUACUGGGGGUAAAGGGAGCGUAGACGGCAGCACAAGUCUGGAGUGAAAUCCCGGGGCUUAACCCCGGAACUGCUUUGGAAACUGUGCGGCUGGAGUGCAGGAGGGGUAAGCGGAAUGCCUAGUGUAGCGGUGAAAUGCGUAGAUAUUAGGAGGAACACCGGUGGCGAAGGCGGCUUACUGGACUGCAACUGACGCUGAGGCACGAAAGCGUGGGGAUCGAACAGGAUUAGAUACCCGGGUAGUC